rnacentral:lncRNA from 1 species
UGAUCAUAUCAUUGAAAUGAAUGUUCCAACUCCAAGGGUAUUGUGGUCUUUGUGAUUACCUAUCACAAGAAGUGAAAUCCAUAGGUUAUUCCAUAUAGAAAUCUUCAAAAAAUCUCUACUCAGGAAAGCUAUUUCACAUCCUUUCUUGGAAUCAAUAUCUUACAUCGCCUCGUUGUAAGUUCUGGGAUCAUCUCUAUAUUUUCUAUCUCUCAUGAAAAAUAAUUUUCUCUACAUCCUCUGUUAAACAUACUCGAAUAUCUUUCGAGAAGAUUGGAGAUCCUACUAUGUAUACGAGGU